UUUUUAAAUAAAUGAACCUGAUUUGAUUUUUGCUAGCAGUUCCUGUGAGAAUUCCUGACUUGUAUUUGCUAGCAAGUGGAAAAACUUUGACAGUGGAAGUGCUUGGAAAUACUUUGUAAUUUAUGUUCACAUUGCUGGUUUAUUAAAGUCUUUUUUUUUUUUUUAACUGGGGAAACAGGCAUGUAGAAGUUGACAGCUGUGUAUCUAUUACACUAACUCUAGUUUGUGGCAUCUUUUCAAUACUUGUGUUUUUUUUCUUGGCUGAGUUUCACAGUAUUAAUAGAUUGUAUAGCUUUUUUAUUUUAAACUGGGGAUGGGGGGGACAGGCAUGUAGAUGUUGACAGCUGUGUUUAUUACACUAACUCUAGUUUGUGGCAUCUUCUUAAAUACUUGUUUUUUUUCUUGGUUAAGUUUCACAGUAUUAACAGAUUGUACGGCUUGAUUUUUUUUUUUUUUUACUUCAAAUUUACCAGUGUUUUUUUUAUUCUGUCCUUUUUUUUUUUCCAGUUUCAUGUCUGUAUUUUAAUAUCAUAUAUAUAUAGAUGUGGCUGCAAAUAGUUGUUAGUUUCUGCAUUGACUGAUGAUUCUAAAAUGUCACUCAGCGGUUUCUCAAUGUCGUCUUUAGGAUACAACUAACAGAUUUUCAGUUUACUAUAACAGACGUGAAAACAAAAUAUACUCAUGAGAAGCUGCAAUCAGAAUUUCUUUUCAAAAAAUAUUAAAAUAUUUGACGACUAAUCCUUUUCGUGCUACUGUCAAUAUUAAUUAGGUCAUUUAACUAUUUAUAAUUUCUAUCUUGAGUUGCUAAUUAGUUGAGCUAAAUGAGUCCAAUUUGACAAAUUUGUCUUGAUUCUAAAAGUUGUUAGCAGUGACCAAAUUUGAGCUAAAAUUAGGAUUCGUUCAUAAAUGUUCUCCAUUUGUCCUUUAAAUAGGAACUUUUUGGAAUGAAGUUUGGUUUGAAGGUUCACUCUAGACCUGCAACUAUUUAAAGCGAUUAAGUAACUUUUAAAUAAUCAGCUAUUUAAGCUCUAAAAUGUCAGGAAAUCUUAAAAAAAAGACAACUCCAUGCAUUGUAAAGCAGUUCUUAAUUCCAUCUUCAGAGCUUAUUUUAAGACCUCACAUGAACCUCCGGUCAGUUAUGUGGAAGGCCAAGCAUGUCGGAAUAGGUUGUAAAAAUAAACUAUCCUGGAGUAUUUUACUUUAUAAAUAAACGGUGCUUCGCAAACGGCUUUCGUUGGGCGAGGUCAUCUCUGAACUGCAGAGAACGAGGUCAAGAGUCGACUCGUAUCAUAAGAUGGCAAGGCUUUUCUCCUUCCCCUUCUCCUCUGUGUUCAAUGAUGGCUGAGCUCUAAGAAAACAGAUCAAAACGCAAAAGGAUCACGCUGUGGUUUGCAGAACCAGACAAGGAUCCAUCUGGUUUUGUGAAUCGGCAGAUCAUGUGAUUGGGACAUCAAGCAGCCAAUUCUGACAUGUUUUGGGGAUAAUUGUAAGGAAAAACAUAAUAGACUUUGCUGCAUAGGAGAAAUAUAAAAGCUAGUUAAUCUAAAAAUCCUGAGUAUUCAGUUGAACUGCAGGCAUUGUUUACAGAGCAGAUAAGAGGCUGAGGAAAAUAAAAACCAGAUCAAUAAAAUUAAUGCAGCCGGGCUCAGACUGAACAGUGGCAUAUCUAUGAAAUUGUGUGCAGAGAAGAGCUAAAAGGCAGACUUUUUAGAAGUUGUAAAAAUUUAGUUUAACAUUUGACAAACAACCCCAUAGAGAUUAAGAUAAAGGCAAGGCAAAUUUAUUUAUAUAGCACUUUUCAACGACACGAUUCAAAGUGCUUUACAAAGACAUUAAAACAAAAGAUGACAAUUAUUAAAAGAAAAACAAAAGAAAACCUUUAUGAAAUUGUUUUAAAAAAAUGGUCAGAACAGUAAAAAGAUCAAAAACAGAAGUCAGAAAACAAGGGCUGUUUAAAAUAACUGUCAUAAAAUAAGAGUUAAAAUAACUGCUAAAAGUAACUGUCAUAAAAUAAGAUUUAAAAUAAUUUAAUCAAAAGCAACUGAGAACGGGUACGUCUUCAGAAUGGAUUUAAAUGUGUUCAGAGUUUCAGCUGAUCUACAGUUUUCUGGGAGUUUGUUUCAUAUAUAUGGGGCAUAGAAGCUGAAUGCAGCUUCUCCGUAUUUGGUUUUACUCUAGGAACUUACGAGAAGACCUGAUCCAGAUGACCUGAGUGGUCUGGGUGGUUCAUACUGAGUCAGGAGGUCUCUGAUGUAUUUUGGUCCUAAACUAUUUAAAGCUUUGUAGACCAGCAGCAGGACUUUAAAAUCUACCCUCUGUGUGACAGGAAGCCAGUGUAAAGACUUUAAAACUGGAGUGUUAUGAUCUAUUUUCUUGGUUUUAGUGAGGACUCGAGCAGCAGAGUUUUGAAUCUGCUGCAGUUGUUUGGCAUGUAGUGACUAAAACAUGGAGAUUCAAAAUUGCAAAAUGAUAGGAAAAUAGCAAACAAAAGCAGUAUAAACUGUAAAUGGUUAGAUAACUUGGUAUGUACAGCCACCAUGUUCUUUGUUCUUGGUAACUUGUGGAUACUUUGAAAAUGUUGGUUAUACCAGUGUUGCUGUUUUUUCUGAUGUCUUUCUGUGUUAUUGCACAAAAGAAAUGUCUAAGUUCUCUGCACUUCUGAUCAUUGAGAUUCUGGCAAUGUUUAAAUCAGGAAGUAAAUUGUGUUCAGGCAUCUUUGUUUUUCUUAUAUGCUUGUCUGUGCGAAGAACUUGUGUAUCUUCAAAUCAAAUAUUCAGCCUUGCUGGCCUGCUGCAGGUUAUUGGACUCUUGAUUAAAAUCACAUGAAACUUGAACUAACUGGGACAAUUAACAAGCUCUACUUGCACAAUGCUCGCACUGGACUUUUAGUGACUGUUGCAUCAUCUCUGCCAAUUGAUGGACUUUCUGGCCGACAUUUGGAUCUCGUGUGAACUUUUUGCAUUUUAAUGACAUGGAAUUUUGCUUUAGCAGGGGAUGUCCCUAGGUUUAAUGUCCUAAAAGUGGGACAGACUCCUUUCACAGGCUGGAUGACAAGAGGACCCACGUCUGGUUGGAGAGCUGUAGGACGGAGAUGAGGCCAUUGUUGGAGGAGUUGACCUGAUGGAUGAGGAUGGAGGCUGCCACUCAGAAGAUGCUGAGGAAGACGAAGGCCUGACGACGACGCCUCUGUGACCCACUGAUGUCUACAGAUGUCUAUUCUUGGAAAGAAGACCUACCUGAUCUCAGAGUGCAUCCCUUUGAUCUACUAGUGCAACUCUUUACAGGCAGGCCUCCCUGCUUGCACGGUCAAACCUCUGGAGAUGAUCCUGAACGCAGCAGCACGUUUGGUUUUCAACCAAAAUGGCCCAUUACCCUGCUGUUCAGAUCACUUCCCUGGCUUCCGGUUGCUGCCCUAAAAUUCUAAGCUGACGUUUGCAUUCAAAAUUACAAUAAAAUGGCUCCCGCCUACUUGAAGUCUA